UACGAAGGGGGCUAGCGUUGCUCGGAAUCACUGGGCGUAAAGCGCACGUAGGCGGAUUGUUAAGUCAGGGGUGAAAUCCUGGAGCUCAACUCCAGAACUGCCUUUGAUACUGGCGAUCUUGAGUCCGGGAGAGGUGGAGUGGAACUGCGAGUGUAGAGGUGAAAUUCGUAGAUAUUCGCAAGAACACCAGUGGCGAAGGCGGCUCACUGGCCCGGUACUGACGCUGACGGUCGCGAAAGCGAUGGGGAGCAAACAGGG
rnacentral:rRNA from 1 species